rnacentral:rRNA from 1 species
AGCAGCCGCGGUAAUUCCAGCUCCAAUAGCGUAUAUUAAAGUUGUUGCAGUUAAAAAGCUCGUAGUUGAAUUUCGGGGUUCUACCGUUGGUCGGGCUUUGUCUGUACUGGCGUGUAGAAUUUCUACCUUCUGGGGAACUAUCAUGUUAUUAAUUUAGCGUGGUAGGAAACCAGGACCUUUACCUUGAAAAAAUUAGAGUGUUCAAAGCAGGCUUAUGUCUGAAUACAUUAGCAUGGAAUAAUAAAAUAGGACGGUGGUCCUGUUUUGUUGGUUUCUGAAUCACCGUAAUGAUUAAUAGGGAUAGUUGGGGGCAUUAGUAUUCAAUUGUCAGAGGUGAAAUUCUUGGAUUUAUUGAAGACUAACUACUGCGAAAGCAUUUGCCAAGGAUGUUUUCAUUAAUCAAGAACGAAAGUUAGGGGAUCGAAGACGAUCAGAUACCGUCGUAGUCUUAACCAUAAACUAUGCCGACUAGGGAUCGGAUGAUGUUAUUUUUAAUGACUCAUUCGGCGCCUUACG